rnacentral:rRNA from 1 species
AAUAUUGGACAAUGGGGGCAACCCUGAUCCAGCCAUGCCGCGUGUGUGAAGAAGGUCUUCGGAUUUUAAAGCACUUUAGGUUGGGGGGAAGGGCUUUAGGUUAAUACCCUGAAGUUUUGCCGUUCCAAACGGAAUAAGAACCGGCUAACUCUUUGCAGGCAGCCGCGGUAAUACAGAGGGUGCAAGCGUUAAUCGGAAUUACUGGGCGUAAAGCGCGCGUAGGUGGUUCAGUAAGAUGGGUGUGAAAUCCCCGGGCUUAACCUGGGAACUGCUUUCAUAACUGCUGAGCUAGAGUACGGUAGAGGGUAGUGGAAUUUCCUGUGUAGCGGUGAAAUGCGUAGAUAUAGGAAGGAACACCAGUGGCGAAGGCGACUACCUGGACUGAUACUGACACUGAGGUGCGAAAGCGUGGGGAGCAAACA